AACGCGAAGAACCUUACCAGCCCUUGACAUCCCGGUCGCGGUUUCCAGAGAUGGAUUCCUUCAGUUCGGCUGGACCGGAGACAGGUGCUGCAUGGCUGUCGUCAGCUCGUGUCGUGAGAUGUUGGGUUAAGUCCCGCAACGAGCGCAACCCCCGUCCUUAGUUGCUACCAUUUAGUUGAGCACUCUAAGGAGACUGCCGGUGAUAAGCCGCGAGGAAGGUGGGGAUGACGUCAAGUCCUCAUGGCCCUUACGGGCUGGGCUACACACGUGCUACAAUGGCGGUGACAAUGGGACGCUAAGGGGCAACCCUUCGCAAAUCUCAAAAAGCCGUCUCAGUUCGGAUUGGGCUCUGCAACUCGAGCCCAUGAAGUUGGAAUCGCUAGUAAUCGUGGAUCAGCAUGCCACGGUGAAUACGUUCCCGGGCCUUGUACACACCGACGCGUA
rnacentral:rRNA from 1 species